UUCUAUUCUAUUCUAUUCUAUUCUAUUCUAUUCUAUUCUAUUCUAUUCUNNNNNNNNNNUUUUUUCUUGUUUUACACUGGUUCAUAAACCCAUGUACGGAAAGACCCAAAAUACCUAUGUCAGAUACUUCUCAGGAUAUGGUCUCCUUUUGAAACACUGGGAGCUGGGGUGAGAUGGUGCUGGGGUGAGAUGGUGCUGGCAGACAUUCUCCUGCUCUUGAGUCUACCUUUGGUCACCUUUUCUCCCUCUGUGCUCUUCACCACCACCAAGGGAGGUGUUAGAAGCCCAGUGCAUGGUAAAUUAGUGCCUUUCUCUGUCACUUGGCCCACCCUGGGCUGUGCAGACCGAACUCUUAAUUAGUGCUCAAAUAAAUAAUGCUUGGGCCAAAUCAAAUACUGAAGAUUAAAGUAUGAUCUGGAAGCCUGAGCCUGAGCUCGUAGGAGUGCAGCAUAUCAAACAGGAAAGGGGGUUAAUUUAAGGGACAAAGUUGUUCAUUAAAAUUUGAAACUCCUAAAUUAAAAAAAAAAAAAAAAGAAUUGAAUCACUCAAGAAGUAGCUUAGAAAAAAUGGGUCAUAAAUGUGGCUGAGAUAAAAACAGUACCCCAGGCCCUCAUGUUGCAGGCAGUUCAGGAGAAACACUUUUGCAAACCUUCACAGUUUCCACCUUGCUGAAGCUUUGGUCCCAGUUCUUCAACAGCAUUAUCAUCUCAUGAAGAUAGUUUCCCAAAGAAGCCCCAAAACACAGAAACAUCUUCAAGGAAAAAAUGUUUGCAGAUGAGCCAACUGGAGAAGAAAAUGGCUGAGAACCCUGCAUUUACAGGAGGAAAAGUCGAGGCCUCAGCUAGGGAGCAGUAACAACAACUGAACCUGCACUUAGAUAUCAACUACCCUUUUGGGGGAGCUGAUUCUUGCUCCUGAGUCAGGUGUGUGCAGAGAGGAAAAGGACACAUCACCAUGGGAUAGACUGGUCCUUCCAUCUUCACUGACUCCUCAGAGCAAUCAGGACUUGGUGAUAAGGCCUGCUCUGCUGUCUGGAGAAGCAGUCUUUCAAGAUGAAACUCAGUUGUUCAAGCAAAUGCAUCUGCAGCUGUUUCUUACUGGCAUCCCACUGACUUUCCAAGGCCAAGGGUUCCCCUUACCUUUUCCAGCAGCUCUAUGUGUGUUUAGAGUUGCCUAUGACAUGCCAAAUAGGAUUAGAUACCUGAUUUUAGGUAACUGAACCUUAUUUGUGCUUGUGAGCAACAUCAGAGACAACACGAGAGGCCACAUCUUGGGAACCAGGGCUGCAAAGGCUAGACUGCUCUCACCACCUCUAUCACUUCCCAGAAAAUACAUUUAUUGUGACCACCAUUAUCAAUUUUUAACUCUUAGACUAUGCUCCAGCACACAUUUAUCAAUGCUCCCAGCACCGAUAACAAAUACCAGUGUUCCUUCUUGCUAGGCCCACAGCAAAGACCAUACUCUGAAUGGCUAUCGCCUAGAUAAGGAAAAUGAAGGAAAUAAUAUCUUUAUUUUGCAGAUGGUUAACCAGGUACAGAGGAAUGUGAUGACUUUUCCUGGGAU
rnacentral:lncRNA from 1 species